UGCCAGACUCCUACGGGAGGCAGCAGUGGGGGAUAUUGGACAAUGGGGGGAACCCUGAUCCAGCGACGCCGCGUGAGUGAAGAAGUAUCUCGGUAUGUAAAGCUCUAUCAGCAGGGACGAAAAUGACGGUACCUGAGUAAGAAGCCCCGGCUAACUACGUGCCAGCAGCCGCGGUAAUACGUAGGGGGCAAGCGUUAUCCGGAUUUACUGGGUGUAAAGGGAGCGUAGACGGUUAUGCAAGUCUGGAGUGAAAGGCGGGGGCUCAACCCCCGGACUGCUCUGGAAACUGUAGAACUAGAGUGCAGGAGGGGUAAGUGGAAUUCCUAGUGUAGCGGUGAAAUGCGUAGAUAUUAGGAGGAACACCAGCGGCGAAGGCGGCUUACUGGACUGUAACUGACGUUGAGGCUCGAAAGCGUGGGGAGCAAACAGGAUUAGAUACCCUUGUA
rnacentral:rRNA from 1 species